GCGCGUAUAGCUCAGGUGGUUAGAGUGCUUGCUUGACAUGCAAGAGGUCUGUGGUUCGAGUCCACAUACGCGUACCA
rnacentral:tRNA from 1 species